GAAAAUGAGAAUCGGUAAGUGCCACAACUCUUGAAUAACCGAGCAAGCAUUGAAAAAAAAAAUAUAGAAAAGAGAAACAUUGUUUUGUGAAUACGAUGUGAAAAGAAAAAAAAAUAGGAAAAUGAAAAUGAAUGCUUGCUUGGAAGAAAAAUAGUGAAAAACAAAAUUGAGUUGUGAAAUAAGAGUUGUGAAGGUUUCAAAUGAGAAACAAAUGGAACGAAGUUGAGAUGUGUAAAUAGCUUGUACAGUGAAUGUCUCUUUUGCAUCGGCAAGUUCGUUUUCAAUGGCCUUAGAUAUGACCCUUGUUUGUAAACCUAACCAAGCUACAACC
rnacentral:lncRNA from 1 species